GCGGCCGCGGGAAUUCGAUUAGAGUUUGAUCAUGGCUCAGAUUGAACGCUGGCGGCAUGCCUAACACAUGCAAGUCGAACGGCAGCACAGUAAAGAUUUCGGUCUUUAUGGGGUGGCGAGUGGCGGACGGGUGAGUAACACGUAGGAAUCUGUCCUGGAGCGUGGGAUAACCCGAGGAAACUCGGGCUAAUACCACAUGAUAUCGAGAGAUCAAAAGCAGGGGACCGAAAGGCCUUGCGCUCUGGGGUGAGCCUACGUCGGAUUAGCUAGUUGGUGGGGUAAAAGCCUACCAAGGCGACGAUCCGUAGCUGGUCUGAGAGGAUGACCAGCCACACUGGGACUGAGACACGGCCCAGACUCCUACGGGAGGCAGCAGUGGGGAAUCUUGGACAAUGGGGGAAACCCUGAUCCAGCGAUGCCGCGUGUGUGAAGAAGGCCUUCGGGUUGUAAAGCACUUUAGGUGGGGAAGAAAGGUAACGAGCGAAUAACUCGUUGCUAUGACGGUACCCGCAGAAUAAGCACCGGCUAACUCUGUGCCAGCAGCCGCGGUAAUACGAAUCACUAGUGAAUUCGCGGCCGCCUGCAGGUCGACCAUAUGGGAGAGCUCCC
rnacentral:rRNA from 1 species